CGGCCUUAGUGGCACAGGGGUGCGUAACGCGUGGGAUCUGCCCUUGGGUUUGGAAUAACAGUUAGAAAUGACUGCUAAUACCAAAUGAUGUCGUAAGACCAAAGAUUUAUCGCCCAAGGAUGAGCCCGCGUAGGAUUAGCUAGUUGGUGAGGUAAAAGCUCACCAAGGCGACGAUCCUUAGCUGGUCUGAGAGGAUGAUCAGCCACACUGGGACUGAGACACGGCCCAGACUCCUACGGGAGGCAGCAGUGGGGAAUAUUGGACAAUGGGCGAAAGCCUGAUCCAGCAAUGCCGCGUGAGUGAUGAAGGCCUUAGGGUUGUAAAGCUCUUUUACCCGGGAUGAUAAUGACAGUACCGGGAGAAUAAGCUCCGGCUAACUCCGUGCCAGCAGCCGCGGUAAUACGGAGGGAGCUAGCGUUAUUCGGAAUUACUGGGCGUAAAGCGUACGUAGGCGGCUUU
rnacentral:rRNA from 1 species